AGUGAACGCUGGCGGUAUGCCUAACACAUGCAAGUCGAACGGCAGCACAUUAAUAGCUUGCUCGUACGGGUGGCGAGUGGCGGACGGGUGAGGAAUACAUCGGAAGCUACUUUUUCGUGGGGGAUGACGAAGGGAAACUUACGCUAAUACCGCAUACGACGUACGGGUGAAAGCAGGGGAUGUUCGGACCUUGCGCGAUUGAAGGAGCCGAUGUGGGAGUAGCUAGUUGGCGGGGUAAAGGCACACCAAGGCGACGAGCCGUAGCUGGUCUGAGAGGAUGAUCAGCCACACUGGAACUGAGACACGGUCCCGACUCCUACGCGAGGCAGCAGUGGGGAAUAUUGGACAAUGGGCGCAAGCCUGAUCCAGACAUAGCGAGUGGGUGAAGAAGGCGUUGGGGUUGUAAAGCCCUUCUGUUGGGAAAGAAAAGCAGCAGGUUAAUACCCAGCUGUUCUGACGGUACCCAAAGAAUAAGCACCGGCUAACUUCGUG
rnacentral:rRNA from 1 species